rnacentral:tRNA from 1 species
GCAUCUUUGGUCCAGCGGUAGGAUAAUUGCCUUCCAAGCAAUUGGCUCGGGUUCGACUCCCGGAAGAUGCA